GAGCAAUCUGUGUGACUGCGUACCUUUUGUAUAAUGGGUCAGCGACUUAUAUUCUGUAGCAAGGUUAACCGAAUAGGGGAGCCGAAGGGAAACCGAGUCUUAACUGGGCGUUAAGUUGCAGGGUAUAGACCCGAAACCCGGUGAUCUAGCCAUGGGCAGGUUGAAGGUUGGGUAACACUAACUGGAGGACCGAACCGACUAAUGUUGAAAAAUUAGCGGAUGACUUGUGGCUGGGGGUGAAAGGCCAAUCAAACCGGGAGAUAGCUGGUUCUCCCCGAAAGCUAUUUAGGUAGCGCCUCGUGAAUUCAUCUCCGGGGGUAGAGCACUGUUUCGGCAAGGGGGUCAUCCCGACUUACCAACCCGAUGCAAACUGCGAAUACCGGAGAAUGUUAUCACGGGAGACACACGGCGGGUGCUAACGUCCGUCGUGAAGAGGGAAACAACCCAGACCGCCAGCUAAGGUCCCAAAGUCAUGGUUAAGUGGGAAACGAUGUGGGAAGGCCCAGACAGCCAGGAUGUUGGCUUAGAAGCAGCCAUCAUUUAAAGAAAGCGUAAUAGCUCACUGGUCGAGUCGGCCUGCGCGGAAGAUGUAACGGGGCUAAACCAUGCACCGAAGCUGCGGCAGCGACGCUGAUGCGUUGUUGGGUAGGGGAGCGUUCUGUAAGCCUGUGAAGGUGUGCUGUGAGGCAUGCUGGAGGUAUCAGAAGUGCGAAUGCUGACAUAAGUAACGAUAAAGCGGGUGAAAAGCCCGCUCGCCGGAAGACCAAGGGUUCCUGUCCAACGUUAAUCGGGGCAGGGUGAGUCGACCCCUAAGGCGAGGCCGAAAGGCGUAGUCGAUGGGAAACAGGUUAAUAUUCCUGUACUUGGUGUUACUGCGAAGGGGGGACGGAGAAGGCUAUGUUGGCCGGGCGACGGUUGUCCCGGUUUAAGCGUGUAGGCUGGUUUUCCAGGCAAAUCCGGAAAACUAAGGCUGAGGCGUGAUGACGAGGCACUACGGUGCUGAAGCAACAAAUGCCCUGCUUCCAGGAAAAGCCUCUAAGCAUCAGGUAACAUCAAAUCGUACCCCAAACCGACACAGGUGGUCAGGUAGAGAAUACCAAGGCGCUUGAGAGAACUCGGGUGAAGGAACUAGGCAAAAUGGUGCCGUAACUUCGGGAGAAGGCACGCUGAUAUGUAGGUGAAGUCCCUCGCGGAUGGAGCUGAAAUCAGUCGAAGAUACCAGCUGGCUGCAACUGUUUAUUAAAAACACAGC
rnacentral:rRNA from 1 species